AAACUUAUUAUUAUUGGUCUUUUGUUUUUUGUAAUAAUAUCCUUUUGUUUACAAUUACAGCUUUGCACUGCCUCCCUUUUGCUUUUGCGUGAUUUUUCCUGCAUGAUUUUUCCUUGCAGUUUUGGACAAGUUCUCUCACGUGGGCGGGUUUUCACUGGUGCGUUCCCAUUGGACAAUCAGUUUUUGAGUGACAGCUCAAUCCCUCCGGCGUUGUGUAGUACAGUUUCGGCAGACGUCCUAAACAGUGGGACUGGGUAUUUAUUCGAUUCUCGCAAUAUUAGUGACGUUUAAGUAUUGAUCAUAUAUGUUUUGUCUUGUUAAGUGUAGGAGCGCUGCAAUUCACGUACUCUCACUGUACCGCCUACAGGAAGCAAAGACCGUCGCCCGCCGUGUUGCUGCAUUUCUCGUGUGGGCGAGUUAGUUCUGUCACUGCUCUUUUACCGUGUUCAUCAUGGUCGGUGUGCUGCAAAAACAGUGUUUGCAACAAAGUCGCUAUGUAUGACAGAGGCAACAUUGACUGGCACCACAGCACAACACAGCAGCGGGAAGAGUCUGCCGACCUCACAGGUGUCCAGAGAGGAACACAAUAAGAAACGGGCACUCGAGGCGAUUCCUUCAGCCAAAUGAAAGCCACCCAUCUGGGGAUGCUUGUACUGACACCAUGGAGAUCUCGCUGACAAAUGAAACAAGUACUUUAACAACAUCUGAUGCCAUGGAUCUGAUGCAAAUGUUCCUCCCUAUCCAACGUUUUCCCCAUGCGUCAAAUGCAGGGCUAGUGUAGCUGAGGGGGAUCGUGGUCCUCAGAAUGGGUCUUAGGAUGUCAUCUCCACUCCAGAUGAUCCUGAAACAGGGGUUGGAGGCCAAUAUGACUCUGUGUGAUUUGUUAGUCAAGGAAUCAUGCAUCAGGUUGAUGAUGUGUGAGCUAGGCAGUCUCGUUGAAACAAUAAACAGUUGCAGGGGAGGGGACUGGUCCCUAAGGGACAAAGAUUGUGCAAUAUGGAGAGUGGAACAGUAAAUAUAUUCAGCAUGCAUAAGUUUGUGUAGGUCAGGCAAAGUGCAAAGACAACUGAUAAUACUGCAAACAUGUAAAUAGUACACAGAAGUGUCUGAACUUGUGUGAACAUCUUUCUUGGCAAGAAACCAGGUUCUUGUGGGAGUAAUGGAGGCUCUCUGGGAGUGCUUGACCUAGCACAACAGCAAAUAAAUCCAUCUGCACUUUACCUAUAGAACACUGACUUAAGUGCAAUCAAGCUAGAUUUCUUGUAAUAACAACGAAAACUUGCACAGCACUGUAACAUUAACAUUACAGCAACCUUACCAUUUCAUGACGAAAUUAAGAUAGAGAUAACAUACAAAAAUAAAUUAUGAAUAAUAAGCAAGGUGUUUAUAUUUGUACUUGUGAAUACAUCAAAAUAUUUCGUCCACACUUUUUAUGCUUCAGUUUUUGUACCCAGCCAGAAACAAAGAAAUUAUGGGCCUUCAGACUUUUAGUCACAUAUUCGUUUAGUUGUUUGCUUAAGUCACCCAUGACCAGAUAAAUCUGGAUAUCCUCAUAACUUAAGUUUUUCACUUUCAAUGUGUAUGAGUCACAUCCAAUAAUAUCAGUUUUCUCUUUAUAUAUAUUGCUUGCAACUGGUAAAAGCUGAUACACAUACGCAGAAUUCUCCAUCACUACGACUAAUAAAUGCACCAGGAUGGCAACUAGAGGCGGAGUGAGGCGAUGUUUCUCAAGCAAGAAAUCUAUGCAUGAUUGUCAAAAUGUAACUAUAUGUUCUUUUAAAAUAUGUACUUAUUUUAUUGUAUUAAAUGAUGGGUCAGUUUCUUUUCCAAAGAAAUAAAUGUCCUUAAAUGAA